CGCUAGCUUCGGCAGCACUCAAAGUAAACUGGAACAAGACAGAGAAGAUUGGCAUGGCCCCUGCACAAGGACGACACAAGAAUUCAUGAAGCAUUCCCUUCAGAC